GCUUCAGGGUAUGUGUAAUUCAUAACCGGUGGUAUAGUCCACGACCCGCUUUUUUGCGGCUGAUUCGGUGAAACUCCGAAACCGACGGUAAAGUCCGGAUGGAAGAAGC
rnacentral:ncRNA from 1 species